rnacentral:lncRNA from 1 species
CACUAGAAUAAAAGCCUUUUUCCUCCAAAUUCCUUUUCAGAUAUAUAUAUAUUUUCAGAGACAGAGUCUUGCUCUGUCGCCCAGGCUGGAGUGUAUGAUCUCAGCUCAUUGCAACCUCCGUCUCCCAGAUUCAAGCGAUUCUCAUGCCUCAGCCUCCAGAGUAGCUGGGAUUACAGGUGUGUGUAAAUAGCCACAAAGCUUGGCUAAUUUUUGUAUUUUUAGUAGAAACAGGGUUUCACUAUGUUGGCCCAGCUGGUCUCGAACUCCUGGCCUCAAUUGCUCCACCUGCCUUGGCCUCCCAAAGUGGUGGGAUUACAGGCAUGAGCCACUGCCCCUGACCAAAGCUUGAUUUUUCUAGACAUCCUGAGGCAAGUGGGACAGAAGACAAAGCCCAGGACCUGGGGGAAGAGGGAAAUCUAAAUCUAGGAACUCAGUCUACAGUUUCAGUGAGG